rnacentral:tRNA from 4 species
GCGCCCGUAGCUCAAUUUGGCAGAGCAGGGGACUCUUAAUCCCAAGGUUGAAGGUUCGAGUCCUUCCGGGCGCACCA